rnacentral:rRNA from 1 species
AAUAGAUACCCUGGUAGUCCACCCCGUAAACGUUGGGAACUAGUUGUGGGGACCAUUCCACGGUUUCCGUGACGCAGCUAACGCAUUAAGUUCCCCGCCUGGGGAGUACGGCCGCAAGGCUAAAACUCAAAGGAAUUGACGGGGACCCGCACAAGCGGCGGAGCAUGCGGAUUAAUUCGAUGCAACGCGAAGAACCUUACCAAGGCUUGACAUAUACGAGAACGGGCCAGAAAUGGUCAACUCUUUGGACACUCGUAAACAGGUGGUGCAUGGUUGUCGUCAGCUCGUGUCGUGAGAUGUUGGGUUAAGUCCCGCAACGAGCGCAACCCUCGUUCUAUGUUGCCAGCACGUAAUGGUGGGAACUCAUGGGAUACUGCCGGGGUCAACUCGGAGGAAGGUGGGGAUGACGUCAAAUCAUCAUGCCCCUUAUGUCUUGGGCUUCACGCAUGCUACAAUGGCCGGUACAAAGGGCUGCAAUACCGUAAGGUGGAGCGAAUCCCAAAAAGCCGGUCCCAGUUCGGAUUGAGGUCUGCAACUCGACCUCA